rnacentral:rRNA from 1 species
UUAAGCGACUAAGCGUACACGGUGGAUGCCCUGGCAGUCAGAGGCGAUGAAGGACGUGCUAAUCUGCGAUAAGCGUCGGUAAGGUGAUAUGAACCGUUAUAACCGGCGAUUUCCGAAUGGGGAAACCCAGUGUGAUUCGUCACACUAUCAUUAACUGAAUCCAUAGGUUAAUGAGGCGAACCGGGGGAACUGAAACAUCUAAGUACCCCGAGGAAAAGAAAUCAACCGAGAUUCCCCCAGUAGCGGCGAGCGAACGGGGAGCAGCCCAGAGCCUGAAUCAGUGUGUGUGUUAGUGGAAGCGUCUGGAAAGGCGCGCGAUACAGGGUGACAGCCCCGUACACAAAAAUGCACAUACUGUGAGCUCGAUGAGUAGGGCGGGACACGUGGUAUCCUGUCUGAAUAUGGGGGGACCAUCCUCCAAGGCUAAAUACUCCUGACUGACCGAUAGUGAACCAGUACCGUGAGGGAAAGGCGAAAAGAACCCCGGCGAGGGGAGUGAAAAAGAACCUGAAACCGUGUACGUACAAGCAGUGGGAGCCUCUUUAUGGGGUGACUGCGUACCUUUUGUAUAAUGGGUCAGCGACUUAUAUUCUGUAGCAAGGUUAACCGAAUAGGGGAGCCGAAGGGAAACCGAGUCUUAACUGGGCGUUAAGUUGCAGGGUAUAGACCCGAAACCCGGUGAUCUAGCCAUGGGCAGGUUGAAGGUUGGGUAACACUAACUGGAGGACCGAACCGACUAAUGUUGAAAAAUUAGCGGAUGACUUGUGGCUGGGGGGGAAAGGCCAAUCAAACCGGGAGAUAGCUGGUUCUCCCCGAAAGCUAUUUAGGUAGCGCCUCGUGAAUUCAUCUCCGGGGGUAGAGCACUGUUUCGGCAAGGGGGUCAUCCCGACUUACCAACCCGAUGCAAACUGCGAAUACCGGAGAAUGUUAUCACGGGAGACACACGGCGGGUGCUAACGUCCGUCGUGAAGAGGGAAACAACCCAGACCGCCAGCUAAGGUCCCAAAGUCAUGGUUAAGUGGGAAACGAUGUGGGAAGGCCCAGACAGCCAGGAUGUUGGCUUAGAAGCAGCCAUCAUUUAAAGAAAGCGUAAUAGCUCACUGGUCGAGUCGGCCUGCGCGGAAGAUGUAACGGGGCUAAACCAUGCACCGAAGCUGCGGCAGCGACGCUUAUGCGUUGUUGGGUAGGGGAGCGUUCUGUAAGCCUGCGAAGGUGUACUGUGAGGUAUGCUGGAGGUAUCAGAAGUGCGAAUGCUGACAUAAGUAACGAUAAAGCGGGUGAAAAGCCCGCUCGCCGGAAGACCAAGGGUUCCUGUCCAACGUUAAUCGGGGCAGGGUGAGUCGACCCCUAAGGCGAGGCCGAAAGGCGUAGUCGAUGGGAAACAGGUUAAUAUUCCUGUACUUGGUGUUACUGCGAAGGGGGGACGGAGAAGGCUAUGUUGGCCGGGCGACGGUUGUCCCGGUUUAAGCGUGUAGGCUGGUUUUCCAGGCAAAUCCGGAAAAUCAAGGCUGAGGCGUGAUGACGAGGCACUACGGUGCUGAAGCAACAAAUGCCCUGCUUCCAGGAAAAGCCUCUAAGCAUCAGGUAACAUCAAAUCGUACCCCAAACCGACACAGGUGGUCAGGUAGAGAAUACCAAGGCGCUUGAGAGAACUCGGGUGAAGGAACUAGGCAAAAUGGUGCCGUAACUUCGGGAGAAGGCACGCUGAUAUGUAGGUGAAGCGACUUGCUCGUGGAGCUGAAAUCAGUCGAAGAUACCAGCUGGCUGCAACUGUUUAUUAAAAACACAGCACUGUGCAAACACGAAAGUGGACGUAUACGGUGUGACGCCUGCCCGGUGCCGGAAGGUUAAUUGAUGGGGUUAGCGGUAACGCGAAGCUCUUGAUCGAAGCCCCGGUAAACGGCGGCCGUAACUAUAACGGUCCUAAGGUAGCGAAAUUCCUUGUCGGGUAAGUUCCGACCUGCACGAAUGGCGUAAUGAUGGCCAGGCUGUCUCCACCCGAGACUCAGUGAAAUUGAACUCGCUGUGAAGAUGCAGUGUACCCGCGGCAAGACGGAAAGACCCCGUGAACCUUUACUAUAGCUUGACACUGAACAUUGAGCCUUGAUGUGUAGGAUAGGUGGGAGGCUUUGAAGUGUGGACGCCAGUCUGCAUGGAGCCGACCUUGAAAUACCACCCUUUAAUGUUUGAUGUUCUAACGUUGGCCCCUAAUCGGGGUUGCGGACAGUGUCUGGUGGGUAGUUUGACUGGGGCGGUCUCCUCCUAAAGAGUAACGGAGGAGCACGAAGGUUGGCUAAUCCUGGUCGGACAUCAGGAGGUUAGUGCAAUGGCAUAAGCCAGCUUGACUGCGAGCGUGACGGCGCGAGCAGGUGCGAAAGCAGGUCAUAGUGAUCCGGUGGUUCUGAAUGGAAGGGCCAUCGCUCAACGGAUAAAAGGUACUCCGGGGAUAACAGGCUGAUACCGCCCAAGAGUUCAUAUCGACGGCGGUGUUUGGCACCUCGAUGUCGGCUCAUCACAUCCUGGGGCUGAAGUAGGUCCCAAGGGUAUGGCUGUUCGCCAUUUAAAGUGGUACGCGAGCUGGGUUUAGAACGUCGUGAGACAGUUCGGUCCCUAUCUGCCGUGGGCGCUGGAGAACUGAGGGGGGCUGCUCCUAGUACGAGAGGACCGGAGUGGACGCAUCACUGGUGUUCGGGUUGUCAUGCCAAUGGCACUGCCCGGUAGCUAAAUGCGGAAGAGAUAAGUGCUGAAAGCAUCUAAGCACGAAACUUGCCCCGAGAUGAGUUCUCCCUGACUCCCUGAGAGUCCUGAAGGAACGUUGAAGACGACGACGUUGAUAGGCCGGGUGUGUAAGCGCAGCGAUGCGUUGAGCUAACCGGUACUAAUGAACCGUGAGGCUUAACCUU